rnacentral:tRNA from 1 species
CAGGGAGACAACAAAAUGUUUAAUAUUAUUAUUUUGUCACCUUAGGUCGAUCGGUAUCUCACGUUUUUAAUUUAUUAAAAAUUUCAUUUCCUAAGUUUUUCUAGGUCACACCCAUUAUUUUUCCUGGGCCAUUAGCUCAGGUGGUUAGAGCGCACCCCUGAUAAGGGUGAGGUCCCUGGUUCAAGUCCAGGAUGGCCCAUAUCUCUAUGUUGGGGGUAUAGCUCAGUUGGUAGAGCGCCUGCUUUGCAAGCAGGAUGUCAGCGGUUCGAGUCCGCUUACCUCCACUGAUCACCACCUCUUCCAUAACUGGUAGAAAGGAAAUGUAUUGAGUUGUGAUCAAAUUCUGAACGAAUCUAGCUUCCUAAUGAAAUCAUUAAGAUGCUGGACUCAUUGAAUUAAUUUCAUUGUUUUCAGAGAACCUUGACAACUGCAUAGAUUAUUUUUAAAGACAAUAAGCAUCUUUAAUGAUGCAGAUUUAUUAUUUGUGCGAAUGCAUUAAUAACAAUUCUAUUAAGCUGAUGCUUCAAUUUUUGAAGUUAUUG